GGGGAGUGAAAUAGAACCUGAAACCCUGCACUUACAAGCUGUGGAAGCACAUUUCUUGUGUGACCGCGUACUUUUUGUAGAACGGGCCAACGAGUUACGUUAAGUAGCAAGGUUAAGCACUUAAGGUUCGGAGCCGUAGCGAAAGCGAGUUUUAACUGAGCGUUCAGUUACUUGACGUAGACCCGAAACCGGGCGACCUACCCAUGGGCAGGAUGAAGCGAAAGUAAAAUUUCGGGGAGGUCCGAACCCACGAGCGUUGAAAAGCUCGGGGAUGACUUGUGGGUAGCGGUGAAAUUCCAAUCGAGCCCGGAGAUAGCUGGUUCUCCCCGAAAUAGCUUUAGGGCUAGCCUCAAGGUGAGAGA
rnacentral:rRNA from 1 species